AGCUGCUAUUCAAGCAUUUUUUUCUUCCUCUUGACAGAUAAUCUUUGGGAAAAAAACACAGGAGACAGUCUUGGGGACGCCCUUUCACAAGCCAGCAACCAAAAAACAGAAGAGGCAGAUUAGGAAGUUUGGAAGCUCAAGGGCCACAAACCACAGACUUUGAGACUACAUACAAUGGAAGCAGAAGCUGAAACCCUUUCCUCAAGAAACAGGCGGUGCAAAGCUGAAGAAGAGAGGACCGAGGAAGAAGAGAGGACCGAGGAAAGGGCGAAGUGAGGCGUCGCUUUCCCCUCGGUCUCCUUCGUCUAUUUUUCGCGAGUGGCUUCCCCACGCGGAGUUCCUCUUUAAAGCCGCCCCUGACCGUCACUCAUUCCGAGCGAGCGGCGGAGGGAGGAGCUCAGGCGGACGAGGAGAAGGAGGAGGCGAAGGCGGCGAAGAAGAGCUCGGGCAUGGAGCGGCGGCGAGCAGAAGGGAGGCGGAGAAGGAGCAGGCGAGCCGAGAGGAAGCGCCACUGAGAGCGGAAAGAAGCUCCGCGAGGAGGCUGUUGCUUCCUCGCCGCUUGUAUAGACAGCCAGCCAGCCAAGCAACGAGGCUGCAAAAUAAAGGAAGAGCGAGAAGACGAGGCAGGAUCCAAGCGGCGGAGGCGGCUGGGCAGCGCGCAAGUUCCUCUCCUUCCCCCUUCGCCGCAACUCUAAGGAAUGAAAGCUCUCCAGGCAGACCUCGUCCUCCUCUGCUUCUGCCUUCUCGGCCAAGGCGAGCAGUCUCUCCUCCCCACCUCCCUGGAACAACUUCUCAAAACAUUCAUACACACUCGUCAUGCUCCAAAUGAUAAUAUUGGUUUAAGAUGUGCAUUUAAGAUCAACGAGGAAACAUAGCGUUCUUUCAAAUCUUCAAAGCCCCUUUAUUAGAUCAAAUCGUUUGUCGUUAAAAAGGAAAAUUGCCGGUCACACAGAUUUCUGCAUUGGAGGUACAAAAGACCCUUCUGAAUUGACGUCUUUUACCAGCAUCGCCUUCAUCCCUGCUUCCCCCGCCUCUGACAAAGACUUGCACUGUAUCAGUGCUGCAUCGCUUGCUGUAUACGUCUUCUGUAUCUCCAUCGUACCAUUAUUGUAUCCGUUUUGAUCUCCAAAGGCUUAUCUCUUUAAUACAGCAGGAUCAUACCAGAGGGGGAAAAGGCCACCCAAACAAAAUAAGCAAGUAUAUAUGUGUGUGCAUGUGUGUGGUGGGGAGCGGCAGCAGUUGUGUGUGAGAAGAAUAAAAGGCUAUGUGAUCUUGCAACCUAGCUCUCUGUGUUUUUCCUGCUUUUGUGGCAGUGCCCACUGCAGCCUUUACACUCUUUUCUAUUUCUUUAAUUUUCCCCAGCAUUCUGGAAACCUCUGAAAAGGGGAAGUCAUUGUCUUUUUUGUGACAUGACCUUGGUCAAAGGCAUUUCACUACCGUAACUUUCCCCACUCCACUGGUAACCUACAACCCAGUGACUUCUCAAAAAAGAAAAGGCAACUGUCCU
rnacentral:lncRNA from 11 species